rnacentral:rRNA from 1 species
GGUAAUACGGAGGGUCCGAGCGUUAUCCGGAAUCAUUGGGUUUAAAGGGUCCGCAGCGGUCAAUUAAGUCAGAGGUGAAAUCCCGUCGCUCAACGACGGAACUGCCUUUGAUACUGGUUGACUUGAGUCAUAUGGAAGUAGAUAGAAUGUGUAGUGUAGCGGUGAAAUGCAUAGAUAUUACACAGAAUACCGAUUGCGAAGGCAGUCUACUACGUAUGUACUGACGCUCAUGGACGAAAGCGUGGGGAGCGAACAGGAUUAGAUACCCUGGUAGUCCACGCCGUAAACGAUGGAUACUAGUUGUUGGGCAUUAGCUCAGUGACUAAGCGAAAGUGAUAAGUAUCCCACCUGGGGAGUACGGUCGCAAGACUGAAACUCAAAUGAAUUGAC